GCCCAUGUGGCGGAAUUGGCAGACGCAGUAGACUCAAAAUCUACCGAAGAAAUUCGUAUCGGUUCGAUCCCGAUCAUGGGUACCA
rnacentral:tRNA from 1 species